CAAGAUUAUUUUUUACUACCACAGAGUUCCAAACAUCAAAUUCAAUGUCGCUAAGGUGCUUCAAUCCCUCAUUCCAAUUGUCGAUCAAUCGGUUGUAGAGAAGACGAUUCGUCCAGGGCUUGUGGAGCUAAGCGAGGAUCCAGAUGUUGAUGUCAGGUUCUUUGCAAACCAAGCUCUUCAAUCUAUUGAUAAUGUGAUGAUGUCGAGCUAAAAAAAAACUUUUAAAUCUCUGUCCCUGGUUUUCUAUUUGAUGCAAGAUUCUAAACUCUCAAGACUUUGUAACGUAAGUAACUGAGAACUCUUGUGUUCUGUUUUUUUUUAUUUUUUCAUGCAAACUGCCUAAGUUGUCUACUGUCUUGUGUUAUGUUGUGGUUGGUUUUUUUGUAAGUUAUCCUUUUUAGUUAUUGAACAUUUUUCGCAGAA